UCUGCACCAAUAAAGGAAUUCAAGGCUUUCGGCAGCUGAAAGGGCCAAGGCAAGACUGUGGGGGCUGCCGGGGCAGGCGGGUGACGAGGAGGCUGCCACUCCCCAGUGGGACCCAGGUCCGGCCACACUGCCCAGAGGACUUCCAGCCAUCACAGCCUCUACACUUGAACCAAGACCCCAGAGACCUUGGCCUGGCUUUCACUAAUAUCCCUCUGGCCACAGCUGAUUCCAGAGAAAUAUAGUGGGAAGUUGCAGGACCAAGGAGGAGAUGAGGGAAACUGACAGUCACUGGCUCCCCCUGCACCCAUACUUUGUGGGGGAAGAGGGGACUGGGGGCUAAAGGUGUUUCUGUCUUUAUUAUACUGGGGGUUGGAGUGAAGGCACUGGAACCUAUUUUUCAUUUUUCUCUUUUGGGAUUAGGAGUGGAGUGGAGAGGGGCCUGACCUUGGCCUUGAACAGAAACAGCCCCACACCCCUAUCAUUAUUGAACAUUGCUAGGUGCCAGACACUCUAUACAAACAACCUAACUUCAUUCUCCCAACAGCUAUAUGAGGCAGUGAUCAAUGACCCAUUUUAUAGAGGGUCAACUGAGGCUCAGAAAGAUUAAGUAGCUUGCCCAUGUCACACAGCUUUUGAACAUAGGUUGUCUGACUGAAAGCUGAGUUCCUAACUACUUACUCAGCUUCAUUACCUGGGG